UGGGGAAUAUUGGACAAUGGGCGAAAGCCUGAUCCAGCCAUGCCGCGUGAGUGAUGAAGGCCUUAGGGUUGUAAAGCUCUUUCGGCGGGGACGAUAAUGACGGUACCCGCAGAAGAAGCCCCGGCUAACUUCGUGCCAGCAGCCGCGGUAAUACGAAGGGGGCUAGCGUUGUUCGGAAUCACUGGGCGUAAAGCGCGCGUAGGCGGGCUGUUAAGUCGGGGGUGAAAUCCUGAGGCUCAACCUCAGAAUUGCCUUCGAUACUAGCAGUCUUGGAGUCCGGGAGAGGUGAGUGGAACUCCUAGUGUAGAGGUGAAAUUCGUAGAUAUUAGGAAGAACACCAGUGGCGAAGGCGGCUCACUGGCCCGGUACUGACGCUGUGGCGCGAAAGCGUGGGGAGCAAACAGG
rnacentral:rRNA from 1 species